rnacentral:rRNA from 1 species
GAUAAACGCUAGCGGCGUGCCUUAUGCAUGCAAGUCGAACGGUUUAUCGAAAGAUAAACAGUGGCAAACGGCUGAGUAACACGUAAGCAAUCUGUCCCUAAGUGGGGAAUAAUCCGCCGAAAGGUGGACUAAUACCGCAUGUGGUAGUGGAGGUAGGUUUCCAUUACUAAAGCUCUCGGGCGCUUGGGGAGGGGCUUGCGUCCUAUCAGGUAGUUGGUGGGGUAACGGCUCACCAAGCCAAUGACGGGUAGCUGGUUUGAGAGGACGUCCAGCCAGACGGGGACUGAGACACGGCCCCGACUCCUACGGGAGGCAGCAGCAAGGAAUUGUGCGCAAUGGGCGAAAGCCUGACGCAGCAACGCCGCGUGAGGGAAGAAGGCCUUCGGGUUGUAAACCUCUUUUCUCAGGGAAGAAUAAUGACGGUACCUGAGGAAUAAGUCACGGCUAACUACGUGCCAGCAGCCGCGGUAAUAC